rnacentral:lncRNA from 1 species
GACAGAUUAAGGAGAGCUGCAUGUCCUGCCUGGCCUGUGGUUGUCAGUGGGGCUUGUGAGCCCUGAGAUGGCAGCAAGCAGCGAGGUCUUCGGGUCAUGGUGGUGGCCUCUGGGCUCACCAUGACCUCAGGGGAAGUUACUGCAGGGCUUCGUCCUGGAGAACUCUGUCCCGGGGACUCUCAUCUGGAGGGGACACAAAGGUGUUUACACCUUCUGUGCUGGGCGGGCGGCUGAGCACUGGCCCAGGCUGCCCAGAGAGGCUGGGGGGGCUCCUCCUGGCAGAGCGGCACAAGGCGCCUGCACGGGGCCCUGGGAACCCUGCACUGGGGGGGGGCUGCUGGAGCACGGCUUGGGGACGGGGCCUCCAGGGCUCCCUGACAGCAUCAGCUGUGCUGUGGUGCUGUGAGUCUGUGAUGCCACAGCUGGAGACUAUGUACAACAGGCUUGACCCCUCUCAGAGCCUUCAUCUCACCUGGUUACAGAAAGGAGCACGGCCUGUGAGAGUCGCAGAUGUGCAGUCAGUGGAGGUGAUUUGGUGGUGAGUCAUCCAACCCACUUCAGACAUCUGCUUUAACCUGAGAUGCCCCAGACCUGCUUCUUCAUAGUAUCUCUGGAAGCACAGCCAGAGCCAGAGGGGAAUGUAGGCUUCUGCAGAAGGAAGAUUAGCGUGGAAAGCCCAGCUCAGCAGCUGUACACUGACCAUGCUCUGCAAGCAUCCAUGGGGUGCGGGAAGGACACAUCUGAGAGUGAUGACCGCAUGUGGCUGAAGGGGAAAAGAAAGGUCACAAAGAGCCUCAGCACCGUGAAAUCAGUUCCAGUUCACCAGGUUCAGUUUCCUCCCUAGAUCUGUAAAAUUAUCUGUGGCAUUUAUCAUGGGCAUUUUAAUUGGCACGUUAUUUAACUGCAUUAAGGACCGCUUCUGAUACUUCUUGCCCUGUAAAAAAUGGCCUUUUGAGAAAAUGAAAAUUGUUGCAAAGUUUAAGAUCACCUUCUGAUUGAAACUUGGCAAGUUCUCUAGGCGUCCCUGCUGGAGCAGGGGGUUUGGCCAGAUGACCUGCAGAGAUCCCUGCCAACCUCAACCUUUCUGUGAUUUCGUGAAAGCAUCCCUGCAAUUCCAGUGCAGUUACUCUUUAUAUCUUUGUAUAAAGCCUAAAUGGAUUUUUGAACACGUAUUUGGUAAAAGAAUUCACUGCUAAUAAGGUAUUUUGGUAAAGCCAACAGAUUUGGACAACACUUUGCUUUGGGAAAAAAAAAAAAAAAAAGCACGAAAAAACAAGUAAUUUUUUAAAAGAAUAAUAAAAUAAAUUUAAUAAAUUUGUUGAUGUUCUUU